UGUGGUCUUCUCUAGUGAGUUGUUAGC
rnacentral:piRNA from 1 species